rnacentral:rRNA from 1 species
ACUUUACAAUUUAUUUCUGCUCCAUGAAUUUUUGUUUAAAUUGAGUGAGGGGUGCUAUUGUUAGGUUGGGGCGACUAUUAUAUAAUUUUUAUUAACUGUAAUUAAAAGAAAUAAGUUUAUUUAGGUAUUUGAUCCUUUAAUAAAGAUUAAAAGAUUAAGUU